rnacentral:lncRNA from 1 species
CAAAAAUGCUGACCUUUUCAUGAGUAAGGGGGGAAGUCCUCCUGCCUGACUACCUUUGAACUGGGACAUGUGCCUUUUUUUUCUGCCUUCAGACUCAAACUAAACGUCAGCUUUUCCCGGCUCUCAAGCCUGCUGGUCCCUGAACUAAAACUCACAUUAUCAACUCUACUGGUUCUUAGGCCUUUGGAGUCAGACUGGAACUACAGCAUUGACUCUUCCGGAACUCCAGCUUACUGACUACAGAUCUUGGAACUUUUCAGCUUCCACAACCAUAAUGAAAGCCAAGCAUAUUCCAUCAUUUCCUAAAACCAAGAUAGAGCACAUAUGGGAACUUGUGAAAUAAGCUUCUUUGGACCUUUUAAGUUGCAUUAUCCCAUAAAAUGUGGUGGAUUCAAUGUUGUAUGGCCUGUAAAACUAAGUAAUGAAGGCUGAUAUGUACCCACCUGGCUCUGUCUUGGGAUCACACAACUUGGGAGCCAAAACAGUGAGACUUAUAAGAAUCUCAAGGAUGGUGUCCCAAGGCAAACUCAUGGCAAGAUCAAGAAAGAGAAUGGCCUGUCUUGACAAGAUUUGUGGUUUUGGCUUUCGUCUGAUGGAAUGAAUUGUACACAAAUACACAGAAAUCCCACAAAUAUUAAAAUAAUUGUAUCAACUUGUAAGAAAAAGGGAAAGAAAUAGCUUAAAAUGGAAUAUUGCUAAGCCCUCAAACCUUUACAAGCAGGAAAUAGGUGUAAACAGGCUUAGGAAAAUGGAAGGUGGACUCAGGGCAGAUUGAGGAGAUCUUGGAGUGCAGCAAAGAGCCAUAGAGAGCAAUUUCCAGGGAGUAGGACUGAACUCUAACCAAAUAAUUGGCAGCAUGUGCCUGGCAUUUCAGGAUUGACAUGGACCGGUGACUACUGUGUUCCUUCCCAUUCCCCACCCUUUUGUGUAGGAUUGUCUGUAGCAGUUUCCCAAUGCCUGUUCCUCCACUUGACGUUGGGUAUUUGGAGAACAAGAAAAAUUCUCUUUUUAGGUCAGAUGUGUGACAUGUAUCACAUUGUAAAAAAGAGUGCUCAAUGAGCUGUAUUUCAGGAAUUGCACUUAAGGGGAAUUAUUUUUACCUAUAUUGGAUUAAUAUGAUAAGAUUUUGAACUUUGAGCUUAUGUAAUUAUGAAGUGAGACCUUUAGUCUUGGGGAAUGACUGUAUUUUAUAUGCGAGAGGUAUAUAAAUCACUGUGGCCUGAAGAUAGACUGUGGCAGAUUGUAUUUUUCAAAGAUUUCCUGUCACACUUUUUUUUUAUUCUUUAUUUUUCUCUUUCUUUCUCUUUCCUCUUUCUCUUUCCCUUCCUCCCUUCCUUCCUUCUUUCCUUCCUUCCUUCCUUCCUUCCUUCCUUCCUUCCUUCCUUCCUUCCUUCUUUUCUUUCUUUCUUUCUGAGAGGGUCUCACUCUGUUUCCUGGCUAGAGUGGUGUCACAUUCAUAGCUCACUGUAGCUCAAACUCCUGAGUGCAAACAAUCCUCCUACAUCAGCCUCCCAAGUAGCUUGGACCACAGGUGUGCAUCCACUCCUGGCUAAUUUUUUAAUUUUAAUUUUUGUAGAGACGGGGUCUCACUUUGUUGCUCAGACUGAUCUUGAAUUCCUGGCUUCAAGAGAUCCUGCUGCCUCAACCUCUAAACUUGCUGGGAUUGCAGGUGUGAACCACCAUGCCCAGCUACUUUCUUUUUCUUACAAUAUGCCUUUGAUGCUCUUCCCAUCAAGAGGUAUUCCUUUCCCUUGAAUAUGGGCAAGGCUGUGAUUAUUAAUGCUAUAUGACUUUUGAGAGUAGGUCAUGAAGCAUGAUACAUUUUCCUAGUUCAUUUAGGAUGCUUGCUCUUAAUACCUAGCCCCUAUGCUUGUAUAAGUCCAAGAGACCUGUUGUGGGGAGGCUCACAUGAAGAAGAACGCAGGCACCUAGCCUACAGUCUGAUUGAGCUCUCAUCUGAUAACCCAUAAGAACUUGAGAGCCUUGUGAGUAAACCAUCUUGAAUCUUUCAGGACCCAGUUGAAACACUUCAGCUGAUGCUGCAUGGAUCAUUGCGGAUUUGUGAGCAAAAUAAAUUAAUAUAGCUUUUUGUUUUAAUUAAACAAUAUUUUUUGAGACAAGAUCUCAUUUUGUCACCCAGGUGGGAGUACAGUGGCACAUUCACAGAUCACUGUAGCCUCAAAUUCCUAAGCACAGGAGGUCCUCCCACCUCAGCCUCCCCAGUAGCUGAGACCACAGCAUGUGCCACUGUGUCUGGCUAAUUUUUUAUUUUUUUGUAGAAACGGAGUCUUGCUAUGUUGCCCAGGCUGGCCUCAUGUGAUCCACUUGCCUCAGUCUUCCAAAUUGUUGGGAUUACAAGUGUGAGGCACUGCACUGAGCCCAAUAUUCCUUUUUAAGCUACUAAGUUUUGGACUGAUUUGCUUCCCAGCAGUAUACGAUUGAUAAAACACAGAAUAUAGAAUAAAAUUAAUCUCUUAUGUUGUCCUAUGAGGCUUUGUGAGAUUUAGUUUCUACCAACACCCCAAAGUCAUGUCAUACCAUUUUUCACUGUGCUUACUUUGCUUCACUGACUUUUCUCCUGUUUUCUAAAACUAGCUAGUUCUUAUCUUCAGGCUUUGUCAUUGUCAUUCCCUGCUGAGAAUAUUGUCUGUCCAAAUCUUGUAAUUCAGACUCAAAAAUAGUCUGUGGCCACUCAAUCUAAAGUAACCCACCACAAACUCUAGCCCAUCUCCCUAUUUAUUUUCAUCAUGAUAUUUAUAUCUAUCUCAUCUAAAUUUUAUCUAUUUGUCAUCUAUCUAAUUGAAAUUUCAUGUUUCUUUACUACUAAUACGCAAGCUCUGUUAAGACAGAAGUAUUUAGUUUAAUUAGAUCCCAUUUGUCAAUUUUGGUUUUUGUUGCCAUUGCUCUUGGUGUUUUAGACAUGAAGUCUUUGCCCAUGCCUAUGUUCUGAAUGGUAUUGCCUAGGUUUUUGUCUAGGAUUUUUAUGGUUUUAGGUCUAACAUUUAAGUCUUUAAUCCAUCUUGAAUUAAUUUUUGUAUAAGGCGUAAGGAAGGGAUCCAGUUUCAGCUUUCUACAUAUGGCUAGUCAGUUUUCCCAGCACUAUUUCUUAAACAGGGAAUCCUUUCCCCGUUUCUUGUUUUUGUCAGGUUUGUCAAAGAUCAGAUAGUUGUAGAUAUGUGGCAUUAUUUCUGAGGGCUCUGUUCUAUUCCAUUGGCCUAUAUCUCUGUUAUAGGGACACUUUUACACUGUUGGUGGGACUGUAAACUAGUUCAACCACUGUAGAAGUCAGUGUGGCGAUUCCUCAGGGAUCUAGAACUAGAAAUACCAUUUGACCCAGCCAUCUCAUUACUGGGUACAUACCCAAAGGAUUAUAAACCAUGUUGCUAUAAAGACACAUGCACACGUAUGUUUAUUGUGGCACUAUUCAUAAUAGCAAAGACUUGGAACCAACCCAAAUGUCCAACAAUGAUAGACUGGAUUAAGAAAAUGUGGCACAUAUACACCAUGGAAUACUAUGCAGCCAUAAAAAAUGAUGAGUUCAUGUCCUUUGUAGAGACAUGGAUGAAGCUGGAAACCAUCAUUCUCAGCAAACUAUUGCAAGGACAAAAAACUGAACACCACAUGUUCUCACUUGUAGGUAGGAAUUGAACAAUGAGAACACAUGGACACAGGAAGGAGAACAUCACACACCGGGGCCUGUUGUGAGGUGGGGGGAGCGGGGAGGGAUAGCAUUUGGAGAUAUACCUAAUGUAAAUGACGAGUUAAUGGGUGCAGCACCCCAACAUGGCACAUGUAUACAUAUGUAACAAACCUGCACGUUGUGCACAUGUACCCUAGAACUUAAAGUAUAAUAAAAAAAAAAGAAAAAAAAGAAAGACAGAAGUAUUGUUCAUCUUGUUUUCUUCCCUAAUCACGUUACCUAGAACAGUGCCUAUCAGAUAGUAGGCACUCCACAAAUAUUUGUUGACUUAAUGAACCAGUGGAAAUAAAUAUUAAUUCAGUUUUACAUUACACAGCAAAAUAGAAAUCCAAUAUUUAAUCCAGUUCAUAUUACAAAAUAAUACCUUCUUUUUAAAAAUUAAAUCCAUUAAAUUGACAUAGAAAAAUCUUCACCAUCUCAUGACUUUAUAAAAACAAAAUUGGUUUCUAUACCACUUGGAUUAUUUCUACAAAUUCUAUUUAUAUGGUUUGUGUCAAUAAACCAUAGAAAAUAAAAUUUUCAAAUAAAACUUAUAUAUUUGUUAUUUGAUCUUGUUCUACUUAUAUGAAUCUUUUAUUUCAUGCAAAUAAAACCCAAAAUAUGAUUCAGCAACUUUCAGUCUGUUUUUAGAGGCAGAGUCUUGAUAUUUCACCCAGGCUGGAGUGCAGUGUCACAAUCAUGGCUCACUUCAGGCUCAACCUCCUAGGCCCAAAAGAUUUAUUCACCUCAACCUCCUGAGUAGCUGGGAUUACAGGUGUGCACCACCAUGCCUGGAUAAGUUUUAUAGUUUUUGUAGACACAAGGUCUCGCUAUACUGCCCAGGCUGGUCUGGAACUCCUGGACUCAACUAAUCCUUCCACCUCAGCCUCCCAAAGUAUUGGAAUUACAGGUGUAAUCCACCAUGCUUGGCCAAUUUUCAUUCUUUAAUGUUAGGCUUUGAGUUUAGUAUCAAACUUUAAAACAAAAGCAACAACAACAAAAAACAAAAAACAUUUCCAAAAAAGAAAAAAAGUACUGGUAGCAGUCAAUAAAAGAAAAGACUCCAAUUUCCAGGAAUUUGGAAUGUGGAAUCCUGGCAUUAUAGAGAUACAGCUUUUUCAUCUAAUUAAUGUAUAAAAUAGUCAAUACUUUCAUUUUAUUUUCUUGGAGUUUACUCCUUUUCACCCUGAAGCCUGGGUAACAAAGCAAGUGCACAAAAAUCGUUAGAAUAACACUUUUCAACAAGAAGCAGUCCCAAAGUAAGUGAAAGGAAUUUCUUUAGUGAUUUUCUCCCUGAGGGGGAGCAGUAGUCUGAAAUCUCACUGGUAUCUAUUCUGAAAGAAUCAGGGGAUUUAUUUAUGUCAUAAUCUAGUAUUUGCAGCCUGCUUUGAUUUUCCUCGGGAUUUCCUUGGAUAUAUUUUACUGAGAGAAGUGUGAAAAGUACUUCUGAUUUGAGAAGCAUGAAAAGAAAGCCUCAGGCCAGGAGACCAUCUUCUACUCUGAGUCAUCCAUUUGCCUGUUCUGAACAACCUCUACUAUUGGCUCUUGCACAAAGAUCUCCUGAGAGUAGUUGUUGGUAGACUCUAAUUGCCUACUAUUUUUAACUCAUUCCCUUACUCCUUUGAUAAGAGUUGAGAGCCCAAGACUUUAAUGGAUUUUGCACGUAUGUCUUAUUCUAUUUACCUAAUCAUAAUGCAAUUUCACUUCAGCACAAACACAGCCAUAGCAAUCAUGACUUAAUUUUAAUUCCUAACUCACUGUAAGUAAGCCAGCUUAUGCUUUUACUAACCAAUUUCCAAUGCAUAUAAAUAAUAACACAUAUUUGGCAUAUCACAGUGCUUAGCUCUUUCUGAUGAGCAAAAGAUUAUAUAUUUAUUGGUGCUUAUCUUGAUGUUUCACAAGAUUUUUCAUUUAUUUCUAUACUGUUCCCUUAGGUUACUAGGUGCAGUCACUUUCCCUACCACCUGCUUUCCACUAUCUGCUCCUUAUCUUUUUCUUUAGAACCUUGCUUCACCUUCUUCCUCUAUUUGUGACCGCUCUGCAGGUGAUCAGGCUUCCUCCACUUUCCUUACCUUCUGAUUGUCUCAUACCAUCUUCCAUCAUUUUCCACACAUAUUACUUGCUUUAUACCAUACUGUAUUUGUAAAACACAUAAAAGAUUGCUAGUAUUUUUAUUUUAUAGAUGAUGAAACUGAAGUAUGAAAGAUAAAUGACUCACCAGAGGCUAUGAUUUGUGGGCCUUUUAGUGGGUUUAAUAGGAGGAAAGCAAAGGUGAAAUGCCAGAAUAGCGAAGGUGGAGAAAUUUGAGAUGAGUGAUAGAGACCUAAGAAAGUGGCAGUUAAAAUGGUCCAGGGCAUAAAAUGAUGUGAGGAAUAGUAGAAAGAAAAGGAGAAAAAUACCUUAAAAUUGAUGACUCUUCUGUCCUAAUAACUUCAAAGUGCAUUUCAAUUUGAAACCUUUAUCACCUCAUUGCGUGGAGGAGACAAAGGAAAGAAAACAUACAGAGCAUUUGUCUCUUCCUGAAGUUUCCUCAAUUCAUAAAAUCCCUAAGACACUAAGAGAAGAAAAUACUGUGAACAUGUUUAGUUUGAUAUUGGUUAUUGUCAUUUCUUUUCAUUCCUUCAAAUACAUUUUAUAAAUUCAAUUUCACAUAUUAUUUAACCUCAUCUACCUGACAUGAUAUUGUUCUCCUGACACAUCCUGUUUAUUAAAUAUUAAUCACAUAUUUUA